GUAACCUGCGGGAAGGAUCAUUG
rnacentral:rRNA from 1 species